CAAAAAAUGCACAGCACGGGUAGUGGCAGUGCAAGCUUCCCAACACUGCUACACUAAUGUGCCUCAAACUUGACCUUGAGAAGAACCAUCUUGGGG
rnacentral:sRNA from 1 species